UCCUGACCACCCAUGCAGCACAGUAUUUG
rnacentral:piRNA from 1 species